rnacentral:lncRNA from 1 species
AAAGUUUGUCGCUUCUUCACCUAAAACCACAUGGGACAAAGCCCUGAGUACGAAGUGUACUUUCGCAAGACUUACCCGACAAAAUAAAAGACUCUCAAGGAUAUGCUGGCUUUAAGGGAGUCAAGGUAAGGCUCAUCAAUAAUCAAUGACUCUGUUUGCAGAAAUGCUUACUAAUAGUGGAUCCUUAAAAAUCCAGUUUUAUUUGUCAGGUUAAGUAAAAUUACCUGCAACUAGGGUUCUCUCUAUCCUAAUUCAUUCACUUGACCUAUACUAGCCAAUUUCUUAACAACCCUUCAUCUUCACUGGAUUGCUACGUGUAAGUCAGUGACCAAGUCUUCAUAACCGCGAAGUUACGGCGAUCCGAAUCAAUUGUAGUCAGCUGAGGGUCUCCAAUCACACGACAUAUGUAGCACUUAACCCUUGCAUAUGUCAACUCGCCACCGGGGUUCUUAAGACCAGAUCAGGUUCACGCCAACCGAGAGCACAGAUACACCACCGUCCAGCCUCUUGCCACGGAGGGUACUCGCUACUCUCGCCAUCUCUCCACUCCCAUUGUGUGGUAUCUUAUUCUAGUAUUAGUUUGCCCAAGGCAAAGCUUACCCAUGACGAGGCAUGUGACCAGUUAAAGGGUCCUCGGUCAGCAGGCCUACAUCGACAUGGUCCUUAAUCGACUCAGACGGAGAUACUACACCGAGACUCUCUUCUCGUGCAAGUCACCCGCCCGAUCUUAGCUUUAUCAUUUCAAACCCAAAGUUCGGUACCUGGCAGAGGUACAUCUUUUCCGAUGUUGAACCCAUCAUGGCCAUGAUGGAUUCACCAUCAAGUUUUGUUUUUGAAAACAUCCCUCCCACUUUGCAAUAUCAUCUUUUGAGAAAACAAAAGAUUUUGUUUUUCUAAAGCGAAGCUAAGCAUAAGAAAAACCUUUUGUAAAACAGGGAUUUAAGGAGAAGUAAUCAAUUCAAGGAAGGAAAUGCAGGAAUUGGUUUAGCACACAACUCCUAUCACCUAGUGCAUCAAGCAAGUGAGAAAGAUUUAAAAAGAACAACGAGGUGGCAAAUGCAUCGGGGCUUGCCUUGUGUUACUGGUGAAUCAGGCUCUGUUCCGCAGAUAUCAAAAUAAAAACAGUUGCCCGCCUGAUGUUCCUCAGGUGGUGGUGGUGAAGUCUUUGCUUCUUCGACUUCUACUUCUUCUUCGUUUUCUAAAUAUAACCAUACAUAAUAAUGUAUGCCCAUGUAAUGCUCAUGAGAGUGCAAAGAUAAUAAAAGUUUAUUAUCUAAAGUCUUGAAUACAACUUUCCUUCAUGGUUCUCCGAGAACUUAGGGUUUUCGGAGUCUAUAGUGAAGUUCACAGGGCUGGGGGGCUAGGGUUUUGGGUUCUAAGUAUCAAAUAUGGUCCAAAUCAUAUCCAACUUUGCCCAAGGCCUCUAAAUAUUAUAUAGAGUUUACCCUAAAAGUUUAGUGAAUUUUGGAUUUAUUAUUUAUUCUCUAAAAAUCCAGAAGCAAGGUCUUAGGCUGUUUUAAAUACUCUAUAAUUUCCUGUUUGGAUUAAAAAUCCUAAAACUAUUUUUAUUAAAUUCUAUGGAAAAUUAGAAACCUAACAAAACUGGUUUCGUAUUUUUAUCAUUUUUCUACAAUUUUCUAGAAUUGUUUUAGCUCUAGUAGAAAAGGAAAAAGAAAAACUAUGAAUAGUAUUGGACCUAAACUGGCCCAAGUCAGCCCACGACAGAAGGAAAGCGCCCCCGCGCAGGCGCCCGUGUAGACUUUGCACCAAAGACCCUGUCCUUUUGAAUAACCUAAACUAGGUUCACAACACUAUUCAUCCAAGUCACUGACGCUUUACAGAAAUCUCCCUGCACUUCUAAUUCUUCACUGCGCCAGGUCCCCGACGACGAACGACGCCGGGCCGCGCUCCGGUGAACUCUCACCGGCUGAUUCACGCAAUGACCGGUACCCUAUUUUGGCUGAGGCCAAAUUCAAGACCUAAUGAUCGUUUCCCCUAAACUAAUUUCACUAAUGGUGCACUGAAACGUCCUGACCAUGGUGACCGUAUGGACAACGGAUGAACAUGGGCGUUCUUGGUGACCCAGGACGGUCUAGUUCAAACAGAGGGGUCGAGGAGCUGAGGAGGACUUAAGGAUGCUAGAACAAACGACCAGAGCGCUUGAACGAACCUGGAGCAAGCUGGCCACGGCGAGGGCAAACCGAGCGGUGUUCUUGAGUGGGUUGGGGGAAAUGCGAAAUUGGAGCUCUCUGGUGGAGGAUCUGAGGUGCGGGUGGGUGCGCUAGCUGCUUGAAUACAUAACGAAGUCGAUGAUGCACUUAAUUUAUAGGCUUCGGGGGCGGUGGCUCUCAAUUUGAUCACAGCGUGCUGGCGGCCGGAGAUAGGGAAGAAUACGAGUGGUUGUGACCGUGGCGUUCACCGGUGCAACGACGCAAGGAUAACACUCCUAAGGGAGCCAUGAUUAGUAUCGCAUAGUAAUAAGUUAUGGCGUGGCACAACCGGGGUAACUGGAGCAUCCACGGCGACGCUGGUGGUCCAGCCACGUCGCGACGGCUAUCGGCACAGUGAUAAACUUCAAUUCGCGAUCAAAUCCAUUCCCCCGUGAGAUCUUUUACCUUCCCGUGGAUAUCCUCUGCGCCAAGCACGAAUCACGGCGACCAACGCAAAUUCGGACGCGCGGAUCGCCGGCGGCGAGGGACUGAGCUGGCGGCCUGAUCCAAUCACUGUACCAUCACGAAGUGUAUUUAGUCGGUCUGACAGAGCAAAUUCAAGGCAGCUUCUCUCCAAUUUUUAUGUGACAAUCUCAUAAUUCAUCUGUAUCAAAGCUAUAGAUCUAUAAUCCAUGUUCGCUUUUGCUAUAGCAACAACCACCAAUCGAGCAACGGAUCUAGCUCAAAAUGGCUCACAAACCUAGUUCUAGGCCAAUGUUAGUCUGAUUUCAGACUCAAGACAGCCUGACAGGUCAACUUGGAGUCAAAUUUUCUCCAAAUUUCUUAUGUAACCCAAGCAUAAUCUCUGUAGCAAAGUUGCUCCCCUUACAUAGUUCUACCAAUUUGAUGUACUGACCUAGGGCAAAAUCCUUAUGGUUUGGAAGUUACAAGGCCCCAAAGUUGAGCCAAUUACACUGAAUUUCAGACUUAGUUCCAUAGGGCUUAAGUGGUACUUUUUGCAAAUAGGUCCAAUUCACAACUUUUGACUUAGGAAUCCUCAAAUAUGUGAACUUUAUGACUUUAGGUAUCCUAAUACCAUGGUUUUUGCACUUUAGUCCAAAAGUGCACUAAUUUUGCACUUAGCCCCCUAGGGUUUAAGUCUAGGGCUUUCCAGGGUUCUUUUUGGAGUUUUUGGGGUUUCUAGGGUUUAAAUACCAUGUAUGUCUAUUCAUGGUGACAUUAUAUGGUUAUUUCAAUUGAGUUUUGAAGUUUUCUCCUAUUUAAGCCUUGUUUGCUCUAUUAAGCCCAAUCUAGGGUUGGGUACCCAACUCUAGAGUUUCAUCCACAAAAUACAACUUGUUGGAAUUUUUUGCCUAGUGAAUGCAUUCUAGGUGUGACAAACACAUGAUAUGUCAAUGCUUAUGAUGUUAUGCUCAAGUUUUAGUGGCAGUAACACUAGGGGUGUUUCAGUAGAUGGCGAGCGGCGAUCUGAAAUGCACGGUACAACCAAGCGCUCAGGCGCUACCACCAGCGGUUUGUACAUAGUAGGGAGCUCAGGGUCGAGGACCUAGUCCUAAGGCGAGUACUGAACUGAGAAGGGCUCCACAAACUCUCUCCUAGUUGGGAAGGACCCUUCAAGGUGACGGAAAUAUGCCGACCCGGGUGUGUCCGCCUUGCCACAACAGAAGGUGUACCUCUUCCCAAUCCAUGGAAUAUAGCGCAUCUCCGUAAGUUCUAUCGAUAAAAGCAAAACUGGGAGGUUGAGUUUUCUUCCUUUGUAACUAGGUUGCACAUAUGUGUACGUCAAUCCGGUGAGGCCCGCCCUCGUAAGCCCGGUCUAUUGGUCUACACCCAUGUAUAUCAAGUUAUAAGGAAACGAUUUACCCCCAGAUGUGCUUUUGUGAUGGUUUUAUUCUACUUCAGUUUACAAGCAUUAUUUUUUAUCUAAGCCACCCAUACAGUUUCCCACCCUUGCUGGUAUGAGGACAUCCGAAUUGAGUAGCCAGGCUUGCAGUUUAGGACCCCUCUGCUGCUGCAGGGUGUCCGGCAACCUGGGGUCCAGUUCUAGAGAAUGGGCACUCGUCCCCUAGAGUGGUCCAGAGCUGUGUACCUGCUUAGCAUGGUUCCAUACCCUAAGCCUGCACGCUCCACCACUCUGCAACAGGUACCCUAGUAUUUGGAAUUGUGAUCCUGUGGGUCUGGGCAUACGGCUUGGCUUCCCAAGUUAAAUCCUGCAGAUCAUGUUGCAUGAAUCAAAGGAUGAAAGAUACCAGAUGCUGGGUCCUAUGGGUGUGCUCCUAAAACUUCAAAGCCGAAGCUAUGUGCAGGUCCAGGUCCCAGUCCAGAGGUAGGUAGUCUCAAACUGUAGAGACUACCUCCUAGGGGUUGGGCCACCAAUUUUUUUCUUUGGUAUACUAGUAUCCAGCCUCAACACAUCAAGCCUACCUCCCAGGGGGCCAAGUACCAGGUGGAAGUUGAUGACGCUACACAUAACAAGGGCAAAUAACAUAUAGAUAAGUUCCAGUGCUACUUGAUUAACGGAUAUUAAAAUGUGUUACAUGGCCAAAAGUUAUUACGGUCGCCCCCCAGCGGAACCCUCGCCUUAUCUCUACAGGUUCAGCUACUCGGCGUCGACAGGAUCACGCUGAAAGCGCGCGGCCACCAUCUCCACUACAUCUUGUACACUCUCCCGGACGACAUCUUCUGUGGCGGCUACCGGACCAUCGAUCACCGACGCCAAGGAUAUGGCGGGGUCGUGACUCCGGAAGCACGUUAGGACGUAGUCCACCACCGCUCGACAGAGCUUGCUGCCCUCUGCCUCCAGGCGGGCACCGAGGAUCUGAUCCAGGCGUCGGAGGCGAUCAGCGGUAGAGUCCAGCACCGGGAGGGCAUCGGAGAUCGACACUGGCGGCUCCGACACUGGGAUGGGGCUCAUCCCUAGUGGCACCAGUGUCGUGCUUGCCUCGCCGACCCACUCGGUAAUGCGCUGGACCUCGGCGCGAUGUUCUGCUUGGAGAUCUUCGAGGGCCUUUCUGGUGGCCUCCAUUGCCUGGGGACCCGGCGCCGCCUGCACCGCAUCAAACUGGUGGAUUUGCUCCUCCAGCUUCCUCUCCUUUUCCUCAGCUUCGAGCUCAUGCUCGGCCAGCAACUCACUUCGCCGGACGAGCAUUUCUUCCCUGAAGGUGAGAUCUGUCUCUCACCUAGCCAGAUCCGUCUCCCGCCUGUCCAAGGACAGCUCCUUCUCCUUAAGGUUUUCCUCGGCGAGGGCGACGUCGCUAGCCUUGCCCUCGAGCUCUUGCUGCCAUUUCUACAGCCUCUCCACGGCGUUUACCUGCUGGGCCCGCUGGGCUUCCAAAGUCUUGUCUAGAGCACUCAGUUUGGCCUGGUACUCUGUCGUGAGGGCCUCCCUCUGGGUCGGCUUCCUCCCUCCUGGCCACUUUCUUCUCCCUCCGGGUCACCUCCAGCUCCCUGGCACACACCCUCUAGAGGUCUUUCUUGUACUCCUUGUGGUCCCGCUCGAGUUGGGACCGCUCGGAGGUGAACUGUCAGGACACCGUCUUGGUGCGCUCCUCCAGUUGGGUGCGCCAGUCACUGAGGUGCUGGUGCUCAGCUUCAAGUGCCUCCCACUCCCGCAAGAAUGCUGCCUCAGUUUCACUAAGAACCUAGUGGGCAUGGGACAGCAUGCGGGGGAGGGGGACUGGCGUCGCUUCUCGCUCGGCACCCGACCAGAGUCGCUGCCCAAAUACCACCUCCAUCUCCUCCAGAGCAGGCGAGGGGACAGAGCUAGACGCGCCCCCUGUGUCACCCCUAGUGUUGGGAGUGAGCGCAGAUCCCUAGCUGGGACCUUCUCCGCCGCUGUGACGCUGCCUGACGCUGGCGCCACUACCGCCGGAUCCCUAGCUAGGGCAUGGGAGGUCGGUGGCGCUGUCCUGGCAGCAGCUGGGAGCGGACCACCGGCACCACCCUCAGUGGAUCCCUGCUACUGAGAGCCAGACCCGUCGAUGGGCCUGGUAUCUGGCGAAGGAGGCGUGGCCUUGGGAGCAGCGGAGGAAGAAGCCCUGGCAAACAGAUGAUGGGUUAAGACUUGUCGGCAUGAUGAUUAGGCACGUGGAAAAAGGAACUACACUUACUUGGGGCCCUGGACUUUCUAGUGACCCUGGAAGCGAGGUGAUUGCCGCUCCUGCUGCUGUUGCUGCACUGGUUGUGGCUGCUGCUGAUGUGGCUGCUGCUACUGCUGCCCCUCUUGCUGUUGUUGCUGCUGCUGGUGCUCCUAGGGGUGAUCACCCCCGGAUGGUGGUGGUGGCAGUGGGAUCAGGGGACUAAUGCGCCUCUGCGCGUCAUGGGCCUGGGAGCUAGCCUCCUUGGUCCCAUCUACAGCCUUAAAGCGCUUCUGGGCAGGCUCCGAAACAAGCGACUCGUCAGUGCGACGCAACCUGCGUCGCCUCUCCUCCCCCGACCCCCCGGAGCUACCUGGGGCGGAGGCACUGCUUGCAGCCCCUUUGCCCUUGUCCAAGGGGCUGGGGGCCAUGGCGGGAUUGGCACUGGGAGCCACACCGAUGGGCUGGGGACCCCCAGCCGGUGCACCAGAGAUCUGGAUCCCGUGGAGGGGGUCCCGGCUGCCGGUCUGAAGAACCGCCACGCCGCUGUCAUCAAGGGUCAGCAACGUGGCCAGGAUCGCCAUCCUCAGGCCUAGGUCAUCACAAAGCACCGUGAUGUCCUAGGGGAGUAUCAAGGAUUCAGGGACAAAAGUCUCCCCUGUAAUCCCCCCACCAGGAGUUCCAGCUCGUCCUAGGACAGAUCGGUACCCGGCCUGCGCUGGAUCCUAAAGAUGUCGUUUGGGCCGGUGAACCAGCAGGACAGGCGUGGCCUCCUCUACAGCGGCAUGAUCUGGCGCUUCAGGACAUCGCCGACCACGUGCAUUAAUGUCUGGCCGCCCGUGGCCAAGACCUUAAUCCUGUCCAAUACGGACAGGAACUCUGGCGAGAGGGGUGGCUUGGCCCUCCAUUGCUUGUGGUUGAGUGCUGGCCCAUUGGUCGGUAGGUUGAGGCGGUCAUUGGCCUCGGUGCUGGCGAUCACCCAGUCGCUGCGCCAGUUUUCCCACCUCGCACCACCAAAGGUGGGGAUGUAGACUAUGGCUGGAUCUGGCCUCAUCUGAAAGUAGUAGGCAUCGAUGUGGUCCCUAGUCUUCCCAGACCUGACCAGCACGAAGAAAUAGCGGAAGAGGGAAGUGCAGGGGGCCACACCUACAAACAUCUUGCAGAGGUGGAUGAAGAUUGCUGCCUGGAGGAUGGAGUGGGGCGUGAGGUGUUGAAGCUGAAGCCCGAACUCCUCUAGCAGUAGCAGGAAGAAGGGCAAAAUUGGCAGCACCAACCCGUAAGAAAUGUAUGAGGUGAACAACACAAACUCCCCGGCGGCGAGAUCGCCAAGGGGGACAGCGCCGGCACAGAUCCUUCUGGCGAGCCUUGGAGCGCUCCACCCAAGCAGGCCACGCACCAGAUUGAGCUCCUCCUCAGCCUGAAAGCGAUCAGGAUGACCGAGCGAAGCCAUGGCGUGUGCGGCGGCGCGGGCGUGGAGCAGAGGAGCACGAAGGCAAAGGGGCGCAGCCGAUUGGGAGAGAACGCAAAAUGGUAACUUCUGCACGCGGGGUGAAUCCUUUUUCAGGGAAACAUGAAUCCUUUUUCAGGGAAACUCUCCCGCGUGCCCCUGAAAUGCCGCAAGAAAUCCCGUUCGAUGGGCACCUAGGACCCAGGCCGCCCAGUUUGUGACACGGGGGCCCGGGUCCACAAGUCAUACAGUUUGGGUGCCAGAUUUCUGGUGCGGAAAGAGCGGGGUGUGAACUGCCACACGCGAUAGCGCGCCUCCUUGGGGCCACUGCAGAAGACAAAAGGUUAUUUUUAAACCAAUACAACGGCAAUGAGGCGCCCCGCGGGUGACCCGACGAAACCACCAGGCGUGGGGAGCCGUGGGUCAGUUCAGCCGCAGGGACAGAUAUGGCAGUUGAUGUGACUGAAGGUGGAUUGACAGUGGGCGCGUCAGCAGACGUGCUAAAACAGCGCGGCAAUCACCAAUCAGGCCAUGUUGAGGCAAAGUAAAAGCUUUGAUCCCACCUGCAGGCUCGCAUCCUCCCCUAAGGUGGGCCCGGGGGCCACUGUCAGUACCUGAAACUAGGGUACCCCUUACUGUUGUAUAAAAACGCAGUACCCAUGCGGCUAUUUUUAGUCGUGUGGUAAAAGAGUUGUAUGUGGGACCAGGCCAUGACUCAUCCAAGCCUCGGGCGACUACUAUGGGACAGCAACAGCACCUAACCCCACCACAUGGGCGGGUCUGGUGCCACCACGUGUCCAGAGAAAGUGACAUACUCUGAGGCAUCACCAGUGAGUCCAAACCCCCAUGGGAAGGUGCUGGAUCCCUGUAUAUAUGGUCCGGGCCUCCAAGUUUGGUCCAGGACCUCCACGUGUGCGAACUAGACCCCUGGAAUGGGAUCCGAACCCCCCUGUAUGGGGUCCGGGCCGCCCACAGUGGGGUCCCAGGGUUCUAGGUCAAAACAUGCUCGGGCCUUAAUCAUGACCCAGGCGGGGGUCCGAAGCCGACAUGUGUCCAGACCUGAUCUGGUGGGAUCUGGACCUUAUCACAUACACUCCUGCUCCCCGCCUAGGCGGAGACCCGAUGCUGCCACGUGGGCUACUGCACGUGGCGUAAGCCAACAAGCGGAACCUGGCAUGAAGCCUCUGGGCUACACGCGUCUUUGCAUUCAUUACGGAUAAGACGUGCGCCUGUCCAUUCCAGUGACAGGCGACGUGCCCAGUCCACGCUGCGUGGGCCGUGCUGUUACUCACACGUUACCAUAGCAAGGACAAUGACUCACCAUUACUCGCGCGUUUCCAUGAAAAGGGUCACUGCCUAUCAAUGCUGCAUGGACUGCAGCCAUCAUGACUCCCGCUGAUUACUCAUGCGUUACUAAGGCGGAGGGAAUCUGAACGGCUCCCUUGUUUAAGGUUUAGUCAGCAUUAAUUAUUCACAUAAUGUAUUCCUUCCAUUAUGCUCCUGGGCCCACAUGUCGAAGCUCAGCAUCCUUGUAUGUACCUCCCUUAAACUAUAAAAGGGAGGGGACACAACAUUACAAGGGACACGGUCAAUACAACUUACGGACAGUGGAUGUAGGGUAUUACGCUCCAGCGGCCUGAACCACUAUAAAACCUCGAGUGUUCUUGUGUUCAUCCCAAAAUUCACCAAACAGGCAAGAGCUUAGGCCCCCUCCUCAUCUUAGGACUAGGACGGGUGCAUUCUGCCACCCGGCCGAAGGAUUUUCCCACCGACAGUACUGCUGCUGCUACUAAGAAAACUGCCUCUAGUACUGGUGCUGGUGCUAACACUGAUGCUGGUGCUGGUGACCUUGCUUGAAUUGCUGUGGCGAGUUGCCUGAGUAGCAGGGACGACUGCUACUCCCAGCCUGAGGUCCACCAAUCUUGCGCUUCCUAUCCUCCAUCUCUCAACGCUUCCUUUCUGUCAUGAUUGCUCUGUCUAUCAAGUGCUGGAAGGUGGGGAAAGUGUGGUUCAUCAACUGAUAAUGGAGGGGAUCAACCAAUCCUCUCAGAAAGCGGUACUGCCUCUUGGCAUCCGUGUUAACAUCUUCUAGGGCAUAACGUGACAGCUGCAGAAACUUAUCCCUGUACUCACUGACGAACAGGGGACCUUGCUUCAGGGCGAGAAACUCCUUCCUUACUAUCAUCAGUCCCUCGGGCACAUGGUAGCGACGGAAGUUGUCCCUGAACUCCUCCCAUGUGAUGGCUUCAGGGUUGGCAUGGGUGGCGAGGUAAGACUCCCACCAAGACUAUGCUGCUCCCCUCAUCUUUCGGGGACCAUACAACACCUUUUCAUGAUCGUUGCACUGGCCAGUGUGCAACUCACAUUCCACGGUACGUAGCCAAUCUUCCGCAUCCAUGGGGUCAACAGAGUGGGCAAAGACAGGGGAUGGCCCCUCAUGAACUCUACCCUCUUGUCUCUGGGCACUUGCAGCAUCUGAACUUGCACUGGAGGCUGAGGCGGUGGUGGCUGCUGCUGCACCUAAUGCAUGGCUGCUAAGGUCUGACCAAUUGCCUGGACUACUUGGGUCUGCAUCAAGAACAUUUGCUCAAUAGUCAUCGGGGGUGGCAGUGGCAAAUGCUGUUGCAGGGCUGCCUCCUCUUGGGGUGCCUGCUGUUCUGGCUAAGCAUGCCUCGCCACCUCUGCGCCUGUUCUCAAACAUCUGUAGAAAUCACACCCAUAUAUCAAAUUUGACUCUGUAGUCUUUCAGCAUAAGAAAAUAUGUACAGAAAUCUUCAUAGCACUGAACAAUUGAUGACCUUCACUGACAACUUCUCAGAUAAAGAGGAAAGUGGAACUAAAUGGAUUACCCAACUAAAUAACUGACUUUAUUAAUAACUACACCAAGUUGUAGGGGAUACCCACAGCUUGAUGACAAUCAUUACAAAGAUCCAAAUUCAGUACAGGUCCAUCAUAACAAGCAUCCAACAUAAGAUAAGCAAACUAGCUCUAACUAAGACUGCCUAGACUAAGACACUAAACUAAGCAUUAUUACAGACUCUGACUCUGUCGAUCUAGGGAUCCAAAUCUAUACGGGUCCUGUAGUCUGGGGUACCAUAGUCGAAGCAACCACGAGGCGGUGAACGGUAAGGGUGCUGAAUCCCGACAGGGGCGGGAGAACCACCAUCCAGAUAGUGGCGUGCCGUGCAUUCAACACGCAAUUCCGCAGCCUCCGCCCGAACCUUGCCCAACUCGUCAAGGGCAUGGUCCAACUCUGUUUUGAGCACGGCAGCCAAGUUGACCAUGCUGUUCAGCCUGGGAUUGCCCUCACCAACUAGCGAAGCAAUCACACCUCCAGCACUGUCGGUCGAACAACGAGGGUAGUACUUCAAGUCGAGGCCAUAAGCUACCUCGCUGAACAACGAGCAAUACUGAGAAAGUGCCCGUCGUGCUGCAUCUUGCAUGGCUGCCUCUGCAGUGUCCCUCUCAGUAAUAGAAUAGUGCUCUGAGAAGGCUUCUGCACCACGGAGAUCAUCGUCCGGAUGGCGCACCAAACAAGUAGCCUCCCACUGGUCUGGGUAUAGCCCGCGAUGAUGCUGGUAGACUACACAACGGUACUCGAUAGACCAAGUGUGUCGGUCGAAGGCCUGACGCAACAGGGUAUCGAGAGCAUCGUGGAAGUGACACCCGUGAGCGGUGUCACGAGUGAUGGGUCUAGCGAUCCAUCCCUCCGGCUCCUCCGAGAGCUCCGUGUCGUGGCUCGAACUGCCACCGACGUCGUCAUCGUCUUCGUCUCUGUCAGGGUCUCCUCCAGCAGCCGGGAUGCCCUGAGGUGGUGCAGGGGGCAUCUCUGGCUAAGGUGCAGGGUAAGGCGGCCUCUCAGACUCCACCUCUCGCUGAGGCGAGGGGGAAGAGUCCUGCUGCUCCUGCUCCUCCUCCUGGCGUCAGCGCUCCUCCUCGUGCAGGCGACGAUGCAGUCUCUCUAGGUGGCUGGACUGACCUGACACCGUGCGACGCAGUGGACGCUUCGCCAAGCGAGAAGGCAAAAAGGGGAUCACAGACUUAUGUGUGGUGCACCUAAGAUGAGCCAUCUACAAAAGACAUCGUAAGCUCAAGAGUAAGAGUAGAACUAUGAGACCAGAAAGUAAGCAAAAAGAAAAGUGAGACAAAACUUUUUGAGAUGAGUAAAUAACAUAGAGUUUGUCAAGAUGACCAACUUUUGAAAAGACACUAAGGUCAAGGUAAGAGUAGGGGUCUAUAGUCCUUAGGUCGACCAUUCUAGUCUAGGUUAGUGGUCCUACAGUCAGCAAGGCUUUGAUACCACUUAUGUCACACCCGGUUUUUGGAAGGUAAAACGAAUGCGAACCAUGUACGUGCCAGGAUCAGAACUCACGUACACAGCGAUUACAUAAUUGGACAUCAUCACACAAUGCUUGACUUAAAUAGUGGAAAGGUACUUAGUUACAUCAAGAUGUCCAAGACAUCCACAGAGUCUAAUACAUAACCAUUGUUCAACAUAAAUAUCAAAGUGCAAAAUUACGAAACAUAGAAUGUAAGCCUACAUAGGCAGCUGACUGGGGGUUGUCACUAAGAAAGAACUAGAACUCGUUAUAUUCCUAGAACUCCUCAAAGUCAUCCAUGUUGCCAACUUCACCUCCUGAGCACUGAGAAUAGUGGGGACAACCUGGGGUGGGGUGGUUUGUAAAGCAAGGGUGAGUACACUUCAACGUACUAAGCAAAUGUCCCAUUUGGCUAAAGUGGACUAGCUGUAUGUGGAGUUUAAGGUUAAGCAGUUGCUUUUAGUUGGUCAAGUUUUAUUAUUAUAAGUAGAGCCAAAUUUUAGUAAUAACCCAGUUAUUACCCAGAGGCACUCCCUCCAAGAGGAAAUACCAGAGAUCAGGAUUAUAAUCACCAUUGUUAAUCAUCAUCAUAAAAGUAACCAUUGUUCUUCUAAUUGAAGAGGAUCCCAAGGCUGCUCAUAACCGCGAGCACGGCUGAUAUACCAGUUUCUAACACUUUGCAGAGGUUGCACACUUUACCCACAAGCCGUGAUUCCCAUUCAGCUCAGGGUUCUAGCCUCCCCAUUGAUCACUACCAAGGUGACCUAGCAGGGUCUCACUACGUAGCCUUUACAAAGAUUUCCCAGAGGACAUAGCCGCCCGUUAGGUUUCUCCAGUUUGAUAAACACAGUACAUCUCCCCAAAGGAAGGGUGACUAACAAAACCAAAUGAAAGAACCUCUACAACCAACCUCGGCAGAGCAAGUACUGUGCCCAGACCCCAUUGACGGCCCUACGGCAAAGCCAACUAUUCCUCUGGUUGCUCUAAUUAAUCAGCUAAGGGUGUCCCAUUCCACCCUCAUGGUUGCACUGUUAUCUCGGGUUGUCACUCCCCAAAUAGGUCCUUACGGAGAGGUACUCAGGAAAGAGCCUGAGCCCCCUAAAGUAAUCACAAGGACCCCAUUGGGAUAACAUCAUUGUAUCAUAAAAGAUCACAUCAUGUUCAUUGAUUAAGUUUAAGCAAUAGCAUAAGCUAACCAUGAUUAACCCAAAAAGGUAAACAAGGGUAAGGGAAAUACAAACUAGUCAAUCCUUAGGUUCCAAUAAUGUAAUGCGGGACAGUGAAUUAUAAAGUAAAGUAGGACAUGAUAGGUCUAAGGACACUUGCCUUCACCAGGUUGUUGCUUAGGGAGGUCUCCAACAACACACUCAGGAACCUCGUACUGCUCGUUGUCUAAGUAAAGCGAGCAUACAUUCAAUACAUUUGGAGAAGUAUAAAUGAACAUCACACCAAACAUGUACAAACAUUGGAAUACAUCUUAAAAAGACACAAUACUACAUAAGGGAUAAUGAGUCCAAAGUAUAACAUGAACUAUAACAUAAAUUAACUUUAUUUGAAAAUAGAUUGUUAUUUCCCUAAAUGUUAUUUACAAGUACAUAAUCAUAGAUCAAUUUAUUUUAUUGUGACCUAUAAUUUAGAACAGAGGUAAACUCAUGUAAUACACUUUAUUAAUCUCUCAAGCUUACACAUGUUUAAAUCUCUAAGGUUCUCCUUUUAUUUAUUUUAUUAAAUAAAUAAAACUACAUCUAUAUUAGUUCAUAUUCAAUCAUAAAAAUUAGAAUGUGCAGACAGUAAGUGAAACCAUUUUAUUUAAACAGAGAAUAAUUCUAUGAACAUUUUGCAAUUUGAAUCACUAAAUUUGGAGUUCAUAUGCAAAAGUUAUGAAAUAAACAAAUUUGGGAAUUCAAAAUAUGAAAUUAGGUCUAAUUCUGUGAAUAUUUAAAAGUCUAGGGCUAAAUCUGCAAGAAUACAGGGGUCUGCCUGUGAAAACCAGGGACAACGGGUUUAUUUCUAACAAACCGAGGGUUUCUUACGCAAAACAACCACACAAAGGGGUAUCAGGUGAAUCUAACCGUCGGCUCUAAAAUCAACGGCUGAGAUUAGAUCUGCGGCCGAGGGCGCGCGCGCGGGCGGGCGAGUGCUGACAGGCGAGCCAGGGAGUGUCAGCGACAGAGGGGGAGAGUGCGCUAACCGAGCGGGCUCAGCGCCAGGGGGUUUGGGCACUGACAGGCGGGCUAGGGCGCCAGGGCGCGCGUGCGCGAAGCGGUAUCCUGCGGUCUGGGCCUUCGAUCUGGAUCAGGCAGAGGGGACCAGACCAGGGAAGGAUGAGUGGUCCAGGCCGUGCGAUCAGGAUUGGACGGAGGGGAUCAGGCAUGCGUUCGCGAAGCGGUACCCGUUGUCCGGGCUGUGCGAUCAGGAUCGGACGGAAGGGAUCAAACCGGGGGGGUUGAAUGGCUGCGGGCGGCGCUGCUCCUCUCCGCGGUGGUGGGGUCGCUGGAGUUGAGGCAGGCAUGAGCUAGGGGGGUCCGAGGUCACCGGAGUUGGGCAGAGAGGGAGAGGGCUCCACAACGAACUCAAUGGCGGGGAAGAGGCCAUGAAUCCACGGGCAGAGAGGGUAGAACGGUGGUGAGAAGGCCUCGGGCGGGUCGGAGAAACUCCGUUGAGCCAUUCCGGCCACGGGGAGGGGUCCUAAGGUGCGCUAAGGCCUUGGCUAACUUCAGCAGAGGCAGGGGCGACACAGGGACCUACUCCGGGGAACUAGACCGGGCUAAAUUGGCCGGUCACCGCGCGAGCACGACAAACUGCCACGACCGAGCACCAGCGAAGGUGAAAUUGACUGAACACAAGGCGCAAUAGGGGAAAUUAGGCACGGGCAAAGGUGUCUCACCUCGGGGCUGAGCUCGGGGAGGCUUGGAGCGGUCUCCGGCGAGCAGGAUGGCCGGGAACGCGGGUGCGGGUCUCCUGCGGCGGCUGGCGGCGUGAGCAGAGCACGAGAGAGGGUGAAGCUGUGCGAAAUGAGGUGAGGGGUAUGCGUGGGGCACUUGCGGGGCUCUAAGAAGGGAGCAGGGCGCAUGGGUGGGCGUCAUGGCCGAGAAAUCUGGCGACGUGCGCGAGUGCGCACACGCCGGUCCAUGGCGAGCACGGAGGGGGCGGAACUGACAGGUAGGGUCCACAACGCAGAGAGAGGAGAAAGGGGCGUGCGGGGCAACGACUUGACGACUCGCGGACCGGGCCCACGAGACAGAGAGAGAGAGAGAGAGAGGGAGAGCGCGGGCGAAGGAAACUGGCGCCGACAGGCUGGCCCCACUGGGCAGCGAACGAGAGAGGGAGGGCACGGGCGAGGGAGAACUGUCGCUGACAGGCGGGGUGUGCCUGUCAGGCGGCAUGGGCGCGCAGGCGUGCGGCCAGGCUGGGCUUAAUGGGCCGACUGGGUUGCUUUCUCUUUUCCUUUUUCUCUGGAUUUUCUAAUUCCUUUUCCAUUUCUUUUUCUAUAGAGUUUUCAAAUCCAAAUUCACACUAGGUUUCAAAUUCAAAUAAAUUCACACUUGUGCAACACUUCAAAGAAUAUUUUAAGCUCAGCAUGAUGCAACAUGUUAUGACCCAUAAGGUUUUGGCAAAAAUAAAUAAUUAACCUCCACUAGUUUAAGCUAUUUCUAACCGAAAGGAAAAAAGAGAGAAAGAAUCUAGAGAGAGAGAGAAACUAGAGUGAGAAAAAGAAGAGUAACACAUGAUUUUGGGUGAUAAUUAGAAAGAAAUUUUAUACCCCAAAAUCAAGGUGUUACACUGGCACUCGGCAAAGUUUGUGCCGAGUGCCCGCGAAAAUGUACUCAGCAAAGAAGGCUUUACCGAUGUACUGUGUGCCGAGCCCUCUUUGCCGAGUGUUUUUCAGGCUUUGCCGAGUGCUUCAGGCACUCGGCAAAGCUGUCGAUUCCGGUAGUGAUUACAAUGGGUUGUGAACUAAGCGCAGUUGAUAACAAAUUAGUCAUACAUACAUAUUUGUUGAGGCACCAAAAUAUUGGUCCUAGAGACCGCAAAAGGUGGCAUGUCAGAACUAUAGAGAUAUGCCCUUUUAUCUACCAUGUUUGAUUCAGCAUGGAGAUCUUGUUUGCAUCAAAAGAAAGUUCAGGGGACUUUAUCAAGCAAAUAUGCUUUACAGCGGAUUAGGCUAAAGUUUGCAAAAGAUAGCGUGUGAGAAGCAAGCAAAUUUGGUGUUUUAAACAACCAUCUUUAGUUCUCUUGGACAUCAUCAUCACUGCUUUGGAUAUGUAAACAUCCUUUUCUUAACCUGCAUAUUUUUUUAAAGUAGUAAGUAAUUGUAGGCUUGAAUCAGGUCAGUAUAGAUCGAUGUAGAGGUUAAUGUAGGAAACAAUUUAUGAGAAGGUAAAUAUGUUAAUCUAAAGCAAAGUAAAAAAGAAAUAAAGGUUCUUGUAUAUGAGCAUCACAAAAUGUUUGUAUCUUCUUUAAGUGUAUCUUGCAUGGUACGUAAAACAGAUGCAUGCAACAUGGUAUGGUUUCGUUCUGUGUUGAUCAUAGUCUACAAACUUCUUAGUAGCAGCUGGAACUCAUUUAAUGGAGGUGUAUGAAUGGUGAAAGGGAAUUAGGCUUACACCUAUUUCCUAAACUAAUUUUGGUGGUUGAAUUGCCCAGCACAAAUAAUUGGACUAGCUAGUUUGCCCAAGUCUAUAAGUUAUACAGGUACCAAAGGUUCACAAUAAGCCAAUAAAAAGACCAAGAAAAGGGUUCAACAAAAGGAGCAAAGGGACAACCGAAGGUACCCUGGUCUGGCGCACCGGACUGUCUAGUGCACCACCGGACUGUCCGGUGUACACCGGACAGUGUCCGGUGCUCCAGGAAUGAAGCGACUCUGAACUCGCCAGCUUCGGGAAUUCGCAACGGCUACUCCGCUAUAAUUCACCGGACAUGUCCGGUGUACACCGGACUGUCCGGUGUAACAGCGGAGCAACGACAACUUCAGCGCCAACGGUCACCUGCAGGCGCAUUAAAUGCGCGCCAGAGCGUGCAGAAGUCAGGCACGCGCGAACAGGCGCACCGGACACUCUACAGUGCAUGUCCGGUGCGCCACCGGACAUCAAGGCGGGCCCAGCGUCAGAGCUCCAACGGUCGGAACCCUAGCGUUCGGGUGACGUGGCUGGCGCACCGGACAUGUCCGGUGUGCACCGGACUGUCCGGUGCACCAUGCGACAGACAGCCUCCACCCAAACGGCUAGUUUGGUGGUUGGGGCUAUAAAUACCCCCAACCACCCCACAUUCAAGUCAUCCAAGUUUUCCACCUUCCAACCACUUACAAGAGCUAGGCAUUCAAUUCUAGACACACUCAAGUGAUCAAAUCCUCUCCAAUUCCACACAAGGCUUUAGUGAUUAGCGAGAGAGAUUUGCCGUGUUCUUUUGAGAUCUUGCUCUUGGAUUGCUUCUUUCUUUCUCACUUGUUCUUGUGAUCAAAACUCCAUUGUAACCGAGGCAAGAGACACCAAUUGUGUGGUGGUCCUUGCGGGGAAGUUUUGUUCCCGGUUUGAUUUGAGAAGAGAAGCUCACUCGGUCCGAGGGACCGUUUGAGAGAGGGAAAGGGUUGAAAGAGACCCGGUCUUUGUGACCACCUCAACAGGGAGUAGGUUUGCAAGAACUGAACCUCGGUAAAACAAAUCCGCGUGUCACACUCUUCAUUCGCUUGCGAUUUGUUUUGCACCCUCUCUCUCGGACUCUUUAUUAUUUCUAACGCUAACCCGGCUUGUAGUUGUGAUUAUAUUUGUAAAUUUCAGUUUCGCCCUAUUCACCCCCCCCCCUCUAGGCGACUUUCAAUUGGUAUCGGAGCCUGGUGCUUCAUUAGAGCCUAACCGCUCGAAGUGAUGUCGGGAGAUCACGCCAAGAAGGAGAUGGAGACCGGCGACAAGCCCACUACAAGCCACGGGUCGACUUCAUCGGAAGAGUCCCGCAACAAGAGGAAGGAGAAGAAAAACUCCUCCAACAAAGGGAAGGGGAAGGAGAAGAGAUCCUCUUCCCACAAGUCGCAUCGGAGAGGCGACAAGCACAAAAGGAUGAGGAAAGUGGUCUACUACGAGACCGACACUUCAUCAACGUCGACCUCCGGCUCCGACGCGCCGUCCGUUACUUCUAAGCGCUAAGAGCGCAAGAAGUAUAGUAAGAUCCCCCUACGCUACCCUCGCACUCCUAAACAUACACCUUUACUUUCCGUCCCAUUAGGCAAACCGCCAACAUUUGAUGGUGAAGAUUAUGCUAGGUGGAGUGAUAUGAUGCGAUAUCACCUAACCUCACUCCACAAAAGUAUAUGGGAUGUUGUUGAGUUUUGUGUACAGGUACCAUCCAUAGGGGAUGAAGAUUAUGAUGAGGACGAAGUGGCCCAAAUCGAGCACUUCAACUCCCAAGCCACCACUAUACUCCUCACCUCUCUAAGUCGAGAGGAGUAUAACAAGGUGCAAGGGUUGAAGAGCGCCAAGGAGAUUUGGGACGUGCUAAAGACCGCGCACGAGGGGGAGCUCGGUCGCUUCCGUCUUCGCCACGGGGAGGAGCCACAAGACAUGUACAACUGGCUCAAAACCUUGGUGAACCAAGUGCACAACCUCGAGAGCAAAAAAUGGGAUGACCACAAAGUGGUUAAGGUUAUUCUAAGAUCACUUGUUUUCCUUAACCCUACUCAAGUUCAAUUAAUUCGUGGCAAUCCUAGAUAUACUCAAAUGACCCCCGAGGAAGUUAUAGGUAAUUUUGUGAGCUUUGAGUUGAUGAUCAAAGGAUCAAAGAAGAUCAACGAGCUUGACGGCCCCUCCACAUCCGAAGCACAACCGGUCGCAUUCAAGGCAACGGAAGAAAAGAAGGAGGAAUCUACUCCAAGUCGAACACCCAUCGACGCCUCUAAGCUCGACAACGAGGAGAUAGCGCUCAUCAUCAAGAGCUUCCGUCAAAUCCUCAAGCAAAGGAGGGGGAAAGACUACAAGCCCCGCUCCAAGAGAGUUUGCUACAAGUGUGGUAAGCCCGGUCAUUUUAUAGCAAAAUGUCCACUAUCUAGUGACAGUGACAGGGGCGACGACAAGAAGGGCAAGAGAAGAGAAAAGAAGAGGUACCACAAGAAGAAGGGCGGCGAUGCCCAUGUUUGCCGGGAGUGGGACUCGGACGAGAGCUCCACCGACUCCUCCUCCGACGAGGACGCCACAAACAUCGCCGUCACCAAGGGUCUUCUCUUCCCCAACGUCGGCCACAAAUGCCUCAUGGCCAAGGAGGGAAAAAGGAAGAAGGUAAAAUCAAGAUCCUCCACCAAAUAUGAAACAUCUAGCGAUGAGGAUAAUGCUAGUAAUGAGGAGGAUAACUUGCGCAUUCUUUUUGCCGACCUAAACAUGCAACAAAAGGAAAAACUAAAUGAGCUAAUUAGUGUCAUCCAUGAAAAGGAUGAUCUCUUGGACUCCCAAGAGGACUUCAUAAUCAAGGAAAAUAAAAAGCAUGUUAAGGUUAAGAAUGCUUAUGCUCUAGAAGUAGAAAAAUGUGAGAAAUUAUCUAGUGAGCUAAGCACAUGCCAUGACACUAUUGCCAACCUUAGAAAUGAAAAUGCCAAAUUAAUUGCUAAGGUUGAUUCUCAUGUUUGUGAUGUUUCAAUUCCCAAUCUUAGAAAUGAUUAUGAUGAUUUGCUUGCUAAGAUUGAAGAAUUAAACAUCUCUCUUGCUAGCCUUAGGGUUGAAAAUAAAAAAUUAAUUGCUAAGGCUAAAGAAUUAGAUGUUUGCAAUGUUACAAUUUCUGAUCUUAGAGAUAACAAUGAUAUUUUGCGUGCUAAGAUUGUUGAAUUUAAUUCUUGCAAACCCUCUACAUCUACCAUUGAGCAUGUUUCUAUUUGCACUAGAUGUAGAGAUAUUGAUAUUGAUGCUAUUCAUGAUCACAUGGCUUUAAUUAAACAACAAAAUGAUCAUAUAGCAAAAUUAGAUGCUAAAAUUGCCGAGCAUAACUUAGAAAAUGAAAAGUUUAAAUUUGCUAGAAGUAUGCUCUAUAAUGGGAGACGCCCUGGCAUCAAGGAUGGCAUUGGCUUCCAAAGGGGAGACAAUGUCAAACUUAAUGCCCCUCCUAAGAAAUUGUCUAAUUUUGUUAAGGGCAAGGCUCCCAUGCCUCAGGAUAACGAGGGUUACAUUUUGUACCCUGCCGGUUAUCCCGAGAGCAAAAUUAAGAGAAUUCAUUCUAGGAAGUCUCACUCUGGCCCUAAUCAUGCUUUUAUGUAUAAGGGUGAGACAUCUAGUUCUAGGCAACCAACCCGUGCUAAAUUGCCUAAGAAGAAAACUCCUAGUGCAUCAAAUGAUCAUAACAUCUCAUUUAAAACUUUUGAUGCAUCUUAUGUGCUUACUAACAAAUCUGGCAAGGUAGUUGCCAAGUUUGUUGGGGGUAAACACAAGGGCUCCAAGACUUGUGUUUGGGUACCCAAAGUUCUUGUGUCUAAUGCCAAAGGACCCAAAACCGUUUGGGUACCUAAAGUCAAGAACUAAAAUUGUUUUGUAGGUUUAUGCAUCCGGGGGCUCAAGUUGGAUCAUCGAUAGCAGGUGCACAAACCACAUGACAGGGGAGAAAAAGAUGUUCUCCUCCUACGAGAAAAACCAAGAUCCCCAAUGAGCUAUCACAUUCGGGGAUGGAAACCAAGGUUUGGUCAAAGGUUUGGGUAAAAUAGCUAUAUCUCCUGACCAUUCCAUUUCCAAUGUUUUUCUUGUUGAUUCACUAGAUUAAAAUUUGCUUUCUGUAUCUCAAUUGUGUCAAAUGGGGUACAACUGUCUAUUUAAUGAUGUAGGUGUCACUGUCUUUAGAAGAAGUGAUGAUUCAAUAGCAUUUAAGGGAGUGUUAGAGGGUCAGCUAUACUUGGUAGAUUUUGAUAGAGAUGAACUCGACACUUGCUUAAUUGCUAAGACUAACAUGGGUUGGCUCUGGCACCACCGACUAGCUCAUGUUGGAAUGAAGAAUCUUUAUAAGCUUCUAAAGGGAGAGCACAUUUUAGGAUUAACAAAUGUCCAUUUUGAGAAAGACAGGAUUUGUAGCGCUUGCCAAGCAGGGAAGCAAGUUGGUGUUCAUCAUCCACAUAAGAACAUCAUGACGACUGACAGGCCACUGGAGCUCCUACACAUGGAUCUAUUCGGCCUGAUUGCUUACAUAAGCAUCGACGGGAGUAAGUACUGUCUAGUUAUUGUGGAUUAUUAUUCUCGCUUCACUUGGGUGUUCUUUUUGCAGGAAAAAUCACAAACCCAAGAGACUUUAAAGGGAUUCUUGAGACAGGCUCAGAAUGAGUUCGGCUUAAGGAUCAAGAAAAUUAGAAGCGACAACGGGACGGAGUUCAAGAACUCACAAAUUGAAGGCUUCCUUGAGGAGGAGGGCAUCAAGCAUGAGUUCUCUUCUCCCUACACCCUACAACAAAAUGGUGUAGUGGAGAGGAAGAAUCGAACUCUAUUGGACAUGGCAAGAACCAUGCUUGAUGAGUACAAGACACCGGAUCGGUUUUGGGCCGAGGCGGUCAACACCGCCUGCUACGCCAUCAACCGGUUAUAUCUGCACCGAAUCCUCAAGAAGACAUCCUAUGAACUCCUAACCGGUAAAAAGCCCAAUAUUUCGUAUUUUAGAGUUUUUGGUAGCAAAUGCUUUAUUCUUGUUAAAAGAGGUAGAAAAUCCAAAUUUGCUCCUAAAACUGUAGAAGGCUUUUUACUAGGAUAUGACUCAAACACAAGGGCAUAUAGAGUCUUUAACAAGUCCUCAGGACUUGUUGAAGUUUCUUGUGACGUUGUGUUUGAUGAAACUAACGGCUCUCAAGUAGAGCAAGUUGAUUUUGAUGAGAUAGGUGAAGAACAGGCUCCGUGCAUCGCGCUAAGGAACAUGUCCAUUGGGGAUGUGUGCCCUAAGGAAUCCGAAGAGCCUCCACAUGCACAAGAUCAAUCAUCCUCCUCCACGCAAGCAUCUCCACCAACUCAAAAUGAGGACGAGGCUCAAGUUGAUAAAGGAGAAGAUCAAAGAGUUGAGCCACCUCAAGAUGACGGCAAUAAUCAAGGGGGAGAUGCAAAUAAUCAAGACAAGGAGGAUGAAGAACCAAGACCACCACACCCAAGAGUCCACCAAGCAAUCCAACGAGAUCACCCCGUCGACACCAUCCUCGGCGAUAUUCAUAAGGGGGUAACCACUAGAUCUCGUGUUGCACAUUUUUGUAAGCAUUACUCUUUUGUUUCCUCUAUUGAGCCACACAGGGUAGAGGAAGCACUACAAGAUUCGGAUUGGGUGAUGGCGAUGCAAGAGGAGCUCAACAACUUCACGAGGAAUGAGGUAUGGCAUUUAGUUCCACGUCCUAAUAAAAAUGUUGUAGGAACCAAAUGGGUCUUCCGCAACAAGAAAGAUGAGCAUGGUGUGGUGACAAGGAAUAAAGCUCGACUUGUGGCCAAGGGAUACUCCCAAGUCGAAGGUUUGGAUUUUGGUGAAACCUAUGCACCCGUAGCUAGGCUUGAGUCAAUUCGUAUAUUAUUAGCCUAUGCUACUUACCAUGGCUUCAAGCUUUACCAAAUGGACAUGAAGAGUGCUUUCCUCAAUGGACCAAUCAAGGAAGAGGUCUACGUUGAGCAACCUCCCGGCUUUGAAGACAGUGAGUACCCUAAUCAUGUCUAUAGGCUCUCUAAGGCGCUUUAUGGGCUCAAGCAAGCCCCAAGAGCUUGGUAUGAAUGCCUUAGAGAUUUCCUUAUUGCUAAUGGUUUCAAAGUCGGCAAGGCCGAUCCUACUUUAUUUACUAAAACUCUUGACAAUGAUUUGUUUGUAUGCCAAAUCUAUGUCUAUGAUGGGGGAGUUAAAGUAUUUCUUGGGAUUUCAAGUAAAGCAACUCCAAGAGGGCACCUUCAUUUGCCAAACAAAGUACACUCAAGACAUUCUAAACAAGUUUGGGAUGAAGGAUGCCAAGCCCGUCAAGACUCCCAUGGGAACAAAUGGGCAUCUCGACCUCGACACAGGAGGUAAGUCCGUGGAUCAAAAGGUAUACCGGUCGAUGAUAGGUUCAUUGCUUUACUUAUGUGCAUCUCGACCGGACAUUAUGCUUUCCGUAUGCAUGUGUGCAAGAUUCCAAGCCGACCCUAAGGAAUCUCACCUUACGGCCGUAAAACGAAUCUUGAGAUAUUUGGCUUAUACUCCUAAGUUUGGGCUUUGGUACCCUCGGGGAUCCACGUUUGAUUUACUUGGUUAUUCGGAUGCCGAUUGGGCAGGGUGCAAGAUCAAUAGAAAGAGCACAUCGGGGACUUGCCAGUUCUUGGGAAGGUCCUUGGUGCCUUGGGCUUCAAAGAAGCAAAAUUCGGUCGCUCUUUCUACCGCCGAAGCCGAGUACAUUGCCGCAGGUCACUGUUGUGCGCAAUUGCUUUGGAUGAGGCAAACCCUGCGGGACUAUGGUUACAAAUUAACCAAAGUUCCUCUUCUAUGUGAUAAUGAGAGUGCAAUCCGCAUGGCGGAUAAUCCCGUUGAGCAUAGUCGCACUAAGCACAUAGCCAUUCGGUAUCAUUUUCUUAGGGAUCACCAACAAAAGGGGGAUAUUGAGAUUGCAUACAUUAAUACUAAAGAUCAAUUAGCCGAUAUCUUUACCAAGCCACUUGAUGAACAAACUUUUACCAAACUUAGGCAUGAGCUCAAUAUUCUUGAUUCUAGGAAUUUCUUUUGCUAAUUUGCACACAUAGCUCAUAAGUAUACCUUUGAUCAUGUCUCUUUGAUAUAUGCUAUGACUAAUGCGUUUUCAAGUGUAUUUCAAACCAAGUCAUAGGUAUAUUGAAAGGGAAUUGGAGUCUUCGGCGAAGACAAGGCUUCCACUUCACUCUAUCACCCAUCCUUCGUCGUCGCUCCGAGCAUCUCUCCAUCUUUGGUAUAAUCUUCACUCCUAUGUUUUAUUUGCCAAAGGGGAGAAAGUAGUUAUCAAAGGGCUUAUAUUUCACUCUAAGUAUCCGUUUUUGGCGAUUCAUGCCAAAGGGGGAGAAAGUAUAGCCCAAAGCAAAAGGACCGCACCACCACCCUAAUUUUAAAAAUUAAUGAUUUUCAAUUGGUAAAUUUCAAAUUGGUCUCUCUUUGUGUUCUAAAGGGGGAGAAAGUAGUAUUUUCAAAAAUUGAUGUCAUAAAACCCUCUUGAACACUAGGAGGAGAAUUUAUUUGAGGGGGAGUUUUGUUUAGUCAAAGGAAAAGCAUUUGAAACAAAGGGAGAAAAUUUCAAAUCUUGAAAAUGCUUCGCAAAAUCUUAUUCAUUUACCUUUGACUAUUUGCAAAAAGACUGUGAAAAGGGUUUACAAAAAGAAUUUGCAAAAAACAAAACAUGUGGUGCAAGCGUGGUCCAAAAUGUUAAAAAUGAAGAAACAAUCCAUGCAUAUCUAGUAAGUAAUAUUUAUUGGCUCAAUUCUAAGUAACCUUUGCACUUACAUUUUGCAAACUAGUUCAAUUAUCCACUUCUAUAUUUGUUUUGGUUUGUGUUGGCAUCAAUCACCAAAAAGGGGGAGAUUGAAAGGGAAUUAGGCUUACACCUAUUUCCUAAACUAAUUUUGGUGGUUGAAUUGCCCAACACAAAUAAUUGGACUAACUAGUUUGCCCAAGUCUAUAAGUUAUACAUGUACCAAAGGUUCACAAUAAGCCAAUAAAAAGACCAAGAAAAGUGUUCAACAAAAGGAGCAAAGGGACAACCGAAGGUACCCUGGUCUGGCGCACCGGACUGUCCGGUGCACCACCGGACUGUCCAGUGUACACCGGACAGUGUCCGGUGCUCCAGGAAUGAAGCGACUCUGAACUCGCCAGCUUCGGGAAUUCGCAACGGCUACUCCGCUAUAAUUCACCGGACAUGUCCGGUGUACACCUGACUGUCCGGUGUAACAGUGGAGCAACGGCUACUUCAGCGCCAACGGUCACCUGCAGGCGCAUUAAAUGCGCGCCAGAGCGCGCAAAAGUCAGGCACGCGCGAACAGGCGCACCGGACACUCUACAGUGCAUGUCCGGUGCGCCACCGGACAUCAAGGCGGGCCUAGCGUCAGAGCUCCAACGGUCGGAACCCUAGCAUUCGGGUGACGUGGCUGGCGCACCAGACAUGUCCGGUGUGCACCGGACUAUCCGGUGCACCAUGCGACAGACAGCCUCCACCCAAACGGCUAGUUUGGUGGUUGGGGCUAUAAAUACCCCCAAUCACCCCACAUUCAAGUCAUCCAAGUUUUUCACCUUCCAACCACUUACAAGAGCUAGGCAUUCAAUUCUAGACACACUCAAGUGAUCAAAUCCUCUCCAAUUCCACACAAGGCUUUAGUGAUUAGCGAGAGAGAUUUGUCGUGUUCUUUUGAGCUCUUGCGCUUGGAUUGCAUCUUUCUUUCUCACUUGUUCUUGUGAUCAAAACUCCAUUGUAACCGAGGCAAGAGACACCAAUUGUGUGGUGGUCCUUGCGGGGAAGUUUUGUUCCCGGUUUGAUUUGAGAAGAGAAGCUCACUCGGUCCGAGGGACCGUUUGAGAGAGGGAAAGGGUUGAAAGAGACCCGGUCUUUGUGACCACCUCAAAGGGGAGUAGGUUUGUAAGAACCGAACCUUGGUAAAACAAAUCCACGUGUCACACUCUUCAUUCGCUUGCGAUUUGUUUUGCGCCCUCUCUCUCGGACUCUUUAUUAUUUCUAACGCUAACCCGGCUUGUAGUUGUGAUUAUAUUUGUAAAUUUCAGUUUCGCCCUAUUCACCCCCCCCCCCUCUAGGCGACUUUCAAAUGGUGUUAGCACAUGAUAGCAAGAAGGAUACUAACGUUUGUCUAUAUCUCAGUCCUUGUAGUUGGUAGACAUUUGGAUUGUAUAGGAAUUUUUAAUUUGGAUCCUAUUUCUAGAAGGUCCAAUUUGGUGUAUUUUUUAGAAAUUCCUAAGUUGUUACCUAGAUUCUAUUUGGUGCGGUUAUCUGCGACUACUUAUGGCAGCAUGGAACUUGUGUGUGGUAGCUUCUUUGUAGAUUGUAGUAUUUUGAUUAACUGCAUUAUCAGUCAUAUUGUCAGGUUGUAUGUCGGCACACAUUCAACGUUUUUAUACCUAAAGCUCCUUCUUGAUGCUAAGUGUAGUAAGGCGCUAUUGUUAGGAAGUUCUGCAGAUGGAUGACUUCUGUAACUCUUAGGGGUUUUGGAGCAAGUGAAAUGGAGAUUGAGGGGGUUAAAAUUGCUUACUAAGAUAAACAUAUAGAAGAUGCUACCUCCGUUCUCGAAUAUUUGUCACCAGCUAGUUCAUUUUUAAACUAAACCGCGACAAAUAAAAAAAUGAGAGUAUAUAUGUUUAGAAGCAUUACCUUUUCGGAGGAGAUUCGAUAAGGUCAUAUUGCCUUUUCCUUUGAUCUGACUUGUGUUCAUUGUUUGCUCCUAUAGAAAGAAAAUAUGGAUUAGUUUAAUGUACUUACUUUUUCUAAUAGAGUGAGUAACAGAUGUUAAUAUGUUUGUGGUUGUUUUUUUAUAUCAAGUGGAAGUGGCGUAUCUUUGUAAUUUUCACUUCGGCAUCAGAUUUGGGAGUAUGUUGAUAUGUGAGAGGGUUACUGAGCGAUGGAUAUGUCAGCUUCUUUGCAGCCUAAAAGUAAACAUUAUAUGACAUAAUUUAGCUGUGAGAUGUUAUAUAAUUAGGAGAAAAGAAGUAGUUUACUUGAUAGUAUGUGUGGCAUGAAUAGAAAGAAAAUACGUACAUGGAAAAGUACAUUGUGAAUGAAUUUGUAUGUAUUCAAUUAGUUGUUAAUGAUUCAUGUUGUUUAGAGUUGUAGCAACUAAUGACUUGAAAUUUUAAAAAAUUAAACAUGUGUGUUUUAGUGAGGAAUAAGUGAAAGAAAAAUAUAAAAUUGAUGGUGUGUGCAUUCAUAAACAUGUAUGAAGAAACAUAAUAAUAUAGAGGUGUAUGUGGCAAACAACAAUAAAAAAUGAAAUGAGAGUUCUUGUAUGUAAAUCCAGGAAGAGUGCGAACAAUGCAACUAAUGACUUGAAAUUGUAGAAGAGCUAUACAUAAAUGAUUGUGUAUAUAUUUUAGCAAGUUUCUCAUAUGUUUCCAAUAGUUGUUAAAUGGAAGCAUGAAUAGAACGUACGUAGACAUGAAAGCAUGUUCAUUAUGAAAGGCUACUGUUGUGAAAGAAAGAGCAGGUUACACUGAAAGAAUACCUGUUUUUUUGGUAGAAGACACAUAAUAUCAAAUUGAGCUAUCGAUGUUCAAAAGAGGUAAGUGAAAGAAUACUUAAAUUCUGAUGAUGCGUAUAUUUUUUUAAGAUUGAAUAUGUAUAAUGUGACAUUGUAGAGUUGUACAUGACCUAAAGAGAAUGCACCUGUUGUGCAUAGAAUUGGCAAGUUACGUUGUUGAAAUCAGCUUUUGAUGAUUCUAAAUAAUGAGCGAUCAUUUGGUAAACAAUAAGAAACAAAAUUAGUUAUGGUGUAUAGAGGUUAAGGAGUAGUGAGAGUAUAAGAAGGGAAUAUAUCCGGUGCAAAUGAGUCUUUGGUGCAUAUAUGUGCACAUGAACUAACAAAGUUCACAAAAAAUUUUAAAAAAAAAUUAGACAUAUUCUUUCCAUCUUACUCCAAUUAUAUACAAAAUUUCAAGUUCAAAUUCAUUAUACUUUAGCUAUAAUAAAAAAAGAUAAAAUUUCUGACAAGUUUAAAUUAGAAAAUCGGCUAAAAUGUUCUCCUUUUUAUUACAGCUAAAAUAUAACGAAUUUGAGCUUGAAAUUUGUAUAUAAUAAGAGUAGUAUGGAAAGAAUAUGUAUUAUUUUUUUAGAAUUUUUUUUGAACUUCGCUAGUUCAUAUGCAGCAAAGGCUCAUGUGCACCGGAUAUGUUCCCAUAUAAGAAACUAUGCAGGAAUGAUAUCCAUGUAUGUAUUUUGUGCAUCGAAGAAACUAUAUAUGUAUUUGAUGGAAGUUACAGUAUCAGAGAAAUCUGCAGGUUGUAUAAAUCAGCUAUUGAUGAUGCUGAAUAGUAAGUGAGUAUUUCAGAAACAAUAAGAAGCAAAGUUACAUUUCGUGUAUGCAAGUUGAGAAGUCAGAAACUAUGCAUGAAUCAUACCUGUGUAUACAUUUUUUUGGAAAGAUGUAAUGUGGUUAUCUCGGUGGCAUAGUUUAUAAACACACUAAAUAAAUAGGGCUAUAUAUCAAUUGUGAUGUUCUGGACAUCACUUUCACCAAUAUAUAACGACUUACGACUUAGAAACUUUACUGUUUUGUUGAUAAUCAGAUGGGACGUCCGUGUAUUAUUCUUGUUAUAAUUUGUCACAUCUGUACAGGUUGUAGACACGUAUAUGAGAAUUUGCAUUUCGGAAAAAGGAAUGAUGGGAAUGACUAAUUUUGUGCUCGUUCUUAGUUUAUGAUGACCAGGAAAUUUGCACGGCGGAGGAAGAUAGAAGAAAACCCUAAUACCAAGGCUAUACACUUUGUAGGAUGUUGUACCCGUAUUUGCUCAUGGACGAACACAAAAUCAAUUCAAAGCGGGCGAAGCGAGAAUGAAAACCUAAUCAGCUGGAACUGGACUGGGACUGUAUGGAUAAGAAAGCUAGAAGCAAAACAUAAGACCGACUACAUUCGCUUUGAAAAAUGUUCUAGCCGUUGUUGUGCAUCGAUGAGCAGGAAAUGGAAUCACAGUGCGCGAAGCAAAAUGGAAACCCUAACACAAAGGACAUACAAAUCCAAAAGCUUUUGUACCUGCAUGAGUCGGCAGCAUGUUGAGGAUUGGGCGCGCCGGAGAGGAGAGGAUAGAGCAGGGACGUGUGGGGAAGAAGAGACAGCAGAGGGCGCACCGGUACCAGGCCCAUCGCCGCCGACGGAGAAGAGAGGGUGACCCAUUGACCGUCUGUAACACCCUGGGCUUUAAGAGACAAAGCCGG